UACGUAGGGUGCAAGCGUUACUCGGAAUUACUGGGCGUAAAGCGUGCGUAGGCGGUUUGUUAAGUCUGUCGUGAAAGCCCCGGGCUCAACCUGGGAAUGGCGAUGGAAACUGGCGAGCUAGAGUACGGUAGAGGAGAGUGGAAUUCCCGGUGUAGCAGUGAAAUGCGUAGAUAUGUGGAGGAAUACCGAUGGCGAAGGCAGCCCCCUGGGUCGACACUGACGCUCAUGCACGAAAGCGUGGGGAGCAAACAGG
rnacentral:rRNA from 1 species